UACGGAGGGGGCUAGCGUUGUUCGGAAUUACUGGGCGUAAAGCGCACGUAGGCGGCUUUGUAAGUUAGAGGUGAAAGCCCGGGGCUCAACUCCGGAAUUGCCUUUAAGACUGCAUCGCUAGAAUUGUGGAGAGGUAAGUGGAAAUUCCCGAGUGUAGAGGUGAAAUUCGUAGAUAUUCGGAAGAACACCAGUGGCGAAGGCGACUUACUGGACACAUAUUGACGCUGAGGUGCGAAAGCGUGGGGAGCAAACAGG
rnacentral:rRNA from 1 species